rnacentral:rRNA from 1 species
UACUUCCUACGGGACGCAGCAGUGAGGAAUAUUGGUCAAUGGUCGGGAGACUGAACCAGCCAAGCCGCGUGAGGGAGGAAGGUACAGAGUAUCGUAAACCUCUUUUGUCAGGGAACAAAGACUGGGACGCGUCCCCGGAUGAGUGUACCUGAAGAAAAAGCAUCGGCUAACUCCGUGCCAGCAGCCGCGGUAAUACGGAGGAUGCGAGCGUUAUCCGGAUUUAUUGGGUUUAAAGGGUGCGCAGGCGGAGGUGCAAGUCAGCGGUCAAAUUGCGGGGCUCAACCCCGUACUGCCGUUGAAACUGC